GGAGGUAACACGUGGGUAACCUGCCCAUAAGAGGGGGAUAACAUCCGGAAACGGGUGCUAAUACCGCAUAGUUUUCUUGGUCGCAGUGAUCGGGAAAGGAAAGACGGCCUUUUGUGCUGUCGCUUAUGGAUGGACCCGCGGCGUAUUAGUUAGUUGGUGAGGUAACGGCUCACCAAGACGAUGAUACGUAGCCGACCUGAGAGGGUGAUCGGCCACAUUGGGACUGAGACACGGCCCAAACUCCUACGGGAGGCAGCAGUAGGGAAUCUUCCGCAAUGGACGAAAGUCUGACGGAGCAACGCCGCGUGAGUGAAGAAAGGUUUUCGGAUCGUAAAACUCUGUUGUCAGAGAAGAACAAGUUGGAGAGUAACUGCUCCAGCCUUGACGGUAUCUGACCAGAAAGCCACGGCUAACUACGUGCCAGCCGCCGC
rnacentral:rRNA from 1 species